rnacentral:rRNA from 1 species
CUGGCGGCAUGCCUAAGACAUGCAAGUCGAACGAGAUGGCCUUUGAGAGCUGCGUGCUUGCACAAAGCAGGAUAAAGAAUUCCAUCUAGUGGCAGACGGGUGAGUAACACGUAAGUAACCUACCUUAGAGACUGGGAUAACGUUUGGAAACGAAUGCUAAUACCGGAUAAUUCAUCUUUACAUAAGUUUAGAUGCUAAAAGGAGCUUCGGCUUCACUUUAAGAUGGGCUUGCGGCGUAUUAAUUAGUUGGUGGGGUAAUGGCCUACCAAGAUUACGAUGCGUAGCCGAACUGAGAGGUUGAUCGGCCACAUUGGGACUGAGACACGGCCCAAACUCCUACGGGAGGCAGCAGUUAGGAAUAUUCGUCAAGUGGGGGAAACCCUGAACGAGCAAUGCCGCGUGAGUGAUGAACCGGUCUUAUAGAUUGUAAAACUCUGUUGUAUGAGAAGAAACUCUAUAAUAGGUAAUGAUUAUAGAUUGACGGUAUCAUACCAAGAAACGCCCCGGCUAACUACGUGCCAGCAGCCGC